GAGUUUGAUCAUGGCUCAGAUUGAACGCUGGCGGCAGGCCUAACACAUGCAAGUCGAGCGGAUGACGGGAGCUUGCUCCUUGAUUCAGCGGCGGACGGGUGAGUAAUGCCUAGGAAUCUGCCUGGUAGUGGGGGACAACGUUUCGAAAGGAACGCUAAUACCGCAUACGUCCUACGGGAGAAAGCAGGGGACCUUCGGGCCUUGCGCUAUCAGAUGAGCCUAGGUCGGAUUAGCUAGUUGGUGGGGUAAUGGCUCACCAAGGCGACGAUCCGUAACUGGUCUGAGAGGAUGAUCAGUCACACUGGAACUGAGACACGGUCCAGACUCCUACGGGAGGCAGCAGUGGGGAAUAUUGGACAAUGGGCGAAAGCCUGAUCCAGCCAUGCCGCGUGUGAAGAAGGUCUUCGGAUUGUAAAGCACUUUAAGUUGGGAGGAAGGGCAGUAAGUUAAUACCUUGCUGUUUUGACGUUACCGACAGAAUAAGCACCGGCUAACUCUGUGCCAGCCGCCG
rnacentral:rRNA from 1 species